AUUGAACGCUGGCGGCGUGCCUAAUACAUGCAAGUCGAGCGACGCGGGGCCGGGUGAGUAACACGUGCAUAACCUCCUAUAAGACUGGGAUAACUUCGGGAAACCGGAGCUAAACCGGAUACUUAUAGCUGGAUCCGCUAUGCAUUAGCUAGUUGGUAAGGUAACGGCGUACCAAGGCAACGAUGCAUAGCCGACCUGAGCGGGUGAGCGGCCAAACUGGAACUUAUACACGGUCCAAACUACGACGAGAGGCAGCAGUAGGGAAUCUUCCGCAAUGGGCGUAAGCCUGACGCAGCCACGCCGCGUGAGUGAUGAAGGUCUUCGGGUCGUAAAGCUCUGUUAUUGGGGAAGCGGUACUUAUUCAGAAAGCCACGGCUAACUACGUGCCAGCAGCCGCGGUAAUUC
rnacentral:rRNA from 1 species